rnacentral:rRNA from 1 species
UACGUAGGGUGCGAGCGUUGUCCGGAAUUAUUGGGCGUAAAGGGCUCGUAGGCGGUCUGUUGCGUCGGGGGUGAAAACUCAGGGCUUAACCCUGAGCCUGCUUCCGAUACGGGCAGACUAGAGGUAUGCAGGGGAGAACGGAAUUCCUGGUGUAGCGGUGAAAUGCGCAGAUAUCAGGAGGAACACCGGUGGCGAAGGCGGUUCUCUGGGCAUUACCUGACGCUGAGGAGCGAAAGUGUGGGGAGCGAACAGG